CAAUAGCGUAUAUUAAAGUUGUUGCAGUUAAAAAGCUCGUAGUUGGAUUUCUGGUAGUAUGCAUCUGGCCCGCCUCUUCUGAGGUGUGUGUCGGAGCGCAUCUGCCAUCCUCUCAGGGAACGUUUCUGCUAUUCAUUUAGUUGGACUCGCGAACUGGGUCUUUUACUUUGAAAAAUUAGAGUGUUUAAAGCAGGCUAUUGCUGUGAAUACAUUAGCAUGGAAUAAUAAUUUAGGACUUUGGUUCUAUUUUGUUGGUUUUCAGAUCUGAAGUAAUGAUUUAUAGGGACAGUUGGGGGUGCUAGUAUUGAGCGGCCAGAGGUGAAAUUCUUGGAUUCGCUCAAGACUAACUUAUGCGAAAGCAUUCACCAAGGAUGUCUUCUUUAAUCAAGAACGAAAGUUGGGGGAUCGAAGACGAUUAGAUACCGU
rnacentral:rRNA from 1 species